rnacentral:rRNA from 1 species
GUGCCAGCCGCCGCGGUAAUACGUAGGAUGCAAGCGUUAUCCGGAAUUAUUGGGCGUAAAGCGAACGUAGGCGGUUGCUUAAGUUUGGGGUUAAAGACCAAGGCUCAACCUUGGGAGUGCCCUGAAUACUGGGCGGCUGGAGGACGGCAGAGGAAAGUGGAAUUCCAAGUGUAGCGGUGAAAUGCGUAGAUAUUUGGAGGAACACCAGUGGCGAAAGCGACUUUCUGGGCCGUUCCUGACGCUGAGGUUCGAAAGCCAGGGGAGCAAACGGGAUUAGAUACCCUAGUAGUCC